ACUGGUACCAGCAGAGUGUAACUGAUGCCAGGGCAGCUCCUUGGUUAGUGGUGCUGGUGAUGUCUCCCAGUCCUCCAUGCAGUCCUCCUUGAAGCUGCUCCCUCUUCGUUCUUCCUAUAGGAUCCUAGGAGAAAGGGGCCCAUCACCCAGUGAAGUCAAGUUGCUUUUAGUAAUGCAAGACUGGCUCUUUGCUGGAUAGCCUUGGUUGGACAGAAGAGCAAAAAUGUAGCAGGAACUUGUAAGUCGUCAAGUCAGCCAACUUUCUAUGUUCAGAGGCCGGAUAAUUAUCCUUUUGUUCAAAAGACUGUUCUCGUCCAUUUUCCGCAAUGAAAUCUGAAGAGUUUAUUGUUUCCCUGUUGUGAUCCCUUAACAGUUGCUGAGACUUUUCAGUGCUCAGCACAAGAUGAAAGCAAGCAAGUGGAUAAUUUUUUCUGGAGGUGAUUCUGUAUUUGUUUCUUUCACUAC